rnacentral:rRNA from 1 species
AGAGUUUGAUCCUGGCUCAGAGCGAACGCUGGCGGCAUGCUUAACACAUGCAAGUCGCACGGUAUGGGGGCAACUCUGUGCAGUGGCGGACGGGUGAGUAUCGCGUAGGAAUCUAUCCUUGGAUGGGGGACAACCGUGGGAAACUACGGCUAAUACCGCAUGAUGCCUGAGGGCCAAAGCUCGUGAGAGCGUCUGAGGAGGAGCCUGCGUCUGAUUAGGUAGUUGGUGGGGUAAAGGCCUACCAAGCCUUCGAUCAGUAGCUGGUCUGAGAGGAUGAUCAGCCACAUUGGGACUGAGACACGGCCCAAACUCCUACGGGAGGCAGCAGUGGGGAAUAUUGGACAAUGGGCGCAAGCCUGAUCCAGCAAUGCCGCGUGGGUGAAGAAGGUUUUCGGAUUGUAAAGCCCUUUUGGCGGGGACGAUGAUGACGGUACCCGCAGAAUAAGCUCCGGCUAACUUCGUGCCAGCAGCCGCGGUAAUACGAAGGGGGCUAGCGUUGCUCGGAAUGACUGGGCGUAAAGGGCGCGUAGGCGGCUUACACAGUCAGGCGUGAAAUUCCUGGGCUCAACCUGGGGACUGCGUCUAAUACAUGUAGGCUUGAGUGUGAGAGAGGGUCGUGGAAUUUCCAGUGUAGAGGUGGAAUUCGUAGAUAUUGGAAAGAACACCGGUGGCGAAGGCGGCGACCUGGUUCAUUACUGACG